AUGGUUUACAAUUGCCUUGCAAAAAAUACAACACUACUUUCUUAUUCCACAAAAUUGAUAGAAGCAAUAUAUAGAUAACUAUCAGUAAUAUAAGACUUUUUGGAAGAGUAAUCCGAUAUUACUUUCGAAUGCCAACUUUCCACUUAUUAUAUCAACCUAAGUUAAUAAAUUGAGACCUUGAUGGCUUGAACCUUUUUCUAUUUUUACAAUGAUUUUUAAUGCUACAUAUUAUCUUAAGCUUCCACCAUAUAUU
rnacentral:lncRNA from 1 species